UGCCAGCCGCCGCGGUAAGACAGAGGGUGCGAACGUUGCUCGGAAUUACUGGGCGUAAAGCGCGUGUAGGCGGACUAGCAAGUCGGGUGUGAAAUCCCCGGGCUCAACCCGGGAACUGCAUCCGAAACUGCUGGUCUGGAGUGCUGGAGAGGGAAGCGGAAUUCCUGGUGUAGAGGUGAAAUUCGUAGAUAUCAGGAGGAACACCGGUGGCGAAGGCGGCUUCCUGGACAGUUACUGACGCUGAGACGCGAAAGCGUGGGGAGCAAACAGGAUUAGAUA
rnacentral:rRNA from 1 species